rnacentral:rRNA from 1 species
AGAAUCAACGCUGGCGGCGUGCCUCAGACAUGCAAGUCGAACGCGAAAGUCCCCUUCGGGGGACAAGUAGAGUGGCGCACGGGUGAGUAACACGUAGGUAAUCUACCUUCGGAUGGGGAAUAACAACCGGAAACGGUUGCUAAUACCGCAUAAUGCAGCGGCACCUAAUGGUGACAGUUGUUAUAGCGGGGGAUCGAAAGACCUCGCGUCUGAAGAGGAGCCUGCGGCGGAUUAGCUAGUUGGUAGGUAACGGCCUACCAAGGCGACGAUCCGUA